rnacentral:rRNA from 1 species
AUUGAACGCUGGCGGCAUGCCUUACACAUGCAAGUCGAACGGUAACGCGGGGCAACCUGGCGACGAGUGGCGAACGGGUGAGUGAUGCAUCGGAACGUGCCUGGUAGUGGGGGAUAACUGCUCGAAAGAGCAGCUAAUACCGCAUACGACCUGAGGGUGAAAGGGGGGGAUCGCAAGACCUCUCGCUAUCAGAGCGGCCGAUGUCGGAUUAGCUAGUUGGUGGGUAAAGGCCCACCAAGGCGACGAUCCGUAGCUGGUCUGAGAGGACGACCAGCCACACUGGGACUGAGACACGGCCCAGACUCCUACGGGAGGCAGCAGUUGGGAAUUUUGGAAAAUAGACGCAAGUCUGAUCCAGCCAUGACGCGUGCGGGAAGAAGGCCUUCGGGUUGUAAACCGCUUUUGUCAGGGAAGAAAUCUUCUGGACUAAUACUCUGGGAGGAUGACGGUACCUGAAGAAUAAGCACCGGCUAACUACGUGCCAGCCGCCGCAGUAACAC